AAACAUUUGCUUUUCCAUCUCAGGGUGAACUGCCCUCAUCCCCUUCGAAGUUCCAAACCGCCAUCUCCAACAUCCCCUUUUGUCUUUAGCUUGAAGAUGUUGUUUAAGCCAAAAGAACUUAGAGGGUAGAGGGAAAUUUCUUCCUGCCAACAGUGGGUGACAAAAAUGGGACGUAACUUUGCUGGCUGGACACUCCUUGACCCAAAGAUGCUGCAGUUAAGAGAUCCUGGGACACCUGAUAAAAGCAGGCAGAAGCCUGGGAUCUGGAAUACAGUGGAAGCUCUCAAAUGCAGCAUCCUGCAGACAGACUGCAGUAACAAGAGACACACAGCCCCCAUUCCAUAGCAACUGCUGGGACGAGCAGGCUGCAGUUCCUGGCUUGGAGCCUGUCGUUGGCACAGAAAGAAGAGCCCUCUCCUGGCACAUCUCAGAUUGAUGCUACUUCUGACUCUGGCACAAAGGCUACCACUCCAACUAUUUCUGCAAAGCGCACAGCCCUGGAGCCAGCUUCCUCUACUUCUGGUCCUUCUGAGGGGCCCCUCUCUAUUCUCCUGAGAUUCAGCAGGGCAGCAAGAGCCAGGGUGUGCAGAGAGGAGGACAAGGAAAGGAAGGCAUGGAGCCCAAGAGGCAGGCUGGAUGGAGGAAGCCCUGAAGGAGUGUGCUCACAGCAGAAAUGGAGAGAGACAGAAGCCAUAGCACCUUCAUGCUUCGUAGAUGCCUAAGGACCACCUCAUCCCACUCAGCAUAUUAGAGCAUUUGCCCAUCCGCUCAGCAACUUGCUGCUCUAUCUCACUGAAGCUUCUCAGCAGCCUGAGAAAGUAGGCAAGACCAGUUAUUAUGGCCCCAACCUCCACCCAUUUUACAGAGAGAGAGAAACCAAUGUUCAGAGUGAUGCAGUGACUUCUCCCAGAACAGAAAAUCAGGCAGCUCGACCCCUGCCUCUUCAGCCUUCGAGCCCUGGAGCCUAUACUCCAGAGACAUUUAUUGAGCAUUUUUCAAGGGUAAGAUACCUUUUUUCUGGCCGCGCCCGCAGCAUGGGGAAGUUCCUGGGCCAGAGAUGGAACCUAAGCCACAGCUGUAAACAGAGCUACUGCAGUGACAACACUGGAUUUUUAACAUGCUGAGCCAUGACAGAACUACUCAAGUGCAAGAUCCUUGAGGGAAUCAAAGAUUUCUAAGAUAUGAUCCCUUCUUUUGGAUAACUUUUUACCAGGUGGAGAAAGCAAUUGCUUCAGUAGAAGGCAGAGGGUAAAGUCACUGCAGGAGGCACCCAAAGAAGUGCUGUAGGUAUGAGAAGGGGAAGCAAGGAAAAUCUUGCUUCUCCUUUGACCCUGGGUUCAAAGACAAAUAAGUCCCAACACCAAACAAACCUUCCAUGGAAGAGAGACAACUGGAAUUUCUCUUCUUAUUUUGAGUAGUGAUCACAAGGAAUAGAAAAAAGAAAUAAGCAAAAGAUAUUUCAGGGGAGGAAAUGCUUUGGGGCCUUUGUCCAAAAAAUAUCUCUUCACACUAACUUUCUUUUAUUAAUGCAUUCAUUUAAUGCAAACCAUUUAAUGCAUCUCAGUUGAAAGGGAGAAAGAAAAAAGACACCGGAUGACUGACUUUGGGUUUGGUGUCCAAAAAAGGUUAACUUUCAUUAAAUCUGCAGUGGGAAUAAGUUCAUUGAAUGAGGAUGGAUAUUACUUUUUACCUUACCCUGUUCUCUGUGUUUGACAUUUUUCCAUGAGGAUGUGUUACUCUUAUGACAAAAGAGAAAUUCAUGUUUUCCUCUCCACCUCUUUCAGCUUAUUUUGCAGUAGGCUUAUUAUCUCUCACCUGCAGUCAUAACCCUUUCAUAACAACUUGUAACAAAAGAGCUGCUGUUUUACAGAGCUUUUGCUAUAUGUAGGGUAGAGGCUAAAUUCUCUAAAUAUCUUCCUCGUUCCUCAGGACGAUGCUCAAAGUGGGUAUUAGCGCCCUCUUUUUACAGAUGAGGAAACUGAGCCUUAGAGAGAUUAAGUAAUUUGCUCAAACUCACAAAGCUCAGAAACAGUGGAGCCUGGCUUAGAAUCCAGGCAGAACUUGCAAUGGUCCUAACUGGAAGAACCUCGACCAUUCUCUGCUGCCAGUUAUCUUCUUACACCAGAUGUGAUGACAUCACUCCUUUGCUUAAAAUCUGUGAGUUCUUACCCCCACCCUUCCACUGCCUAAAGAACACAACUUAAGCUUCUUAGAACAUCAUUCCCAAGACCAGUUCUCAAUGCAUUCAUCCAUGUGCUCAUUGUAAGUCAACAAAUAACAGCAAGCCCUAACAUUUGUUUCAAAACAAUUUUUCAUGCAGUCUCCCCAUAUCCCUGUGACAAAGGCAGAAGAGCAAACACUUCUAAGCAGCUUCAAUAGCUUGUAGAGUGUCAGGACAAUAUGCCUUGACAUUCCUUCCUUGUCCAGCCGGUUCUCGAAACUUUCCACCAUGUUUUUGGCAUAUCCUGUUAUUCUAUCCCUUUCUGAUUUGCAGUGCUGUUUCUUCUAGGCCUGCCCUGCACCCUGCCCAGUGAAUGCUUACAAAUCCUUUGUAAUUUCUAGUUUUCAAAUGGCCUGCCUUUUAGGGGCUCCCUUAACAACCUGUUGACAUGCCCCAUUUCUGUACUAACUGCACUAGAUUAGAUGCAUUUGCUUGCCUGAUCCGCUUUCCCAGUAGACUGUGACCUUCUCUACAACAGAGGGUUGUGAACAUGGCCUUAGGAAGCUGGGAUGGACUAGUGAUGGAGGAUAGAAUGAAUGAAGACCAAUAUGAUAAGUGGCAAAUCUUUGUUUCUAUUGCUCCUAGGAUUCAUGCAACACUGAAUCAAUACUUAUCAAGAAUGAAGCAUUGUACUAGGGCAGAGAUAAAUACUGAAAUGGUAGUGUGUGUGGGGGUAUUUAGAGAAAGAGGAGAAGGAUAUAUAUUUUUCCUUAUAUUCUUAUAAAUAUGGUGAGUAUAUCACAGAGUGUCCCUUUCUAUACACACAUAAUACAUAUACAUGCAUGUAUAUACAUGGUGUAUAUAUAUUAUGGGUACAUAUAUACAUGUAUAGUGUGUAUACGCUAUGUUUGUACAUAUGUAGUGUUCAUACAUAUAUUGUGUAUGUUCAUAUACAAAUAUAUAGUAUGCAAAUGCAUGUCUGUGUACAUAUAACAGUGUGUGGACAUAUAGUUUUGUGUGGUAGGUACAUACAGAGUGUAUAUACAGUGUGUAUACAUGUGUUGUGUAUAUAUGCACAUACAUAUGGCCUGGCAUGUAUGUGAUGCCUCUGUGUGCACCAGAAUGCAAUCUGAGCAGAGAUCUGGAGGGUGCACCAGAAGAUGGUAGGAAAGAUAGCCAUUACAAGAAACACAGAUAUUUUUUAAUAAAAUGAAAAACACCUUGAGGCUUGCCUCCCUGCUAAGGAAAGAGUGGAGCGCCUGAAGGAAGAAGAAACAACUAGAGAUUUAGGAAGGAAAACAGCUUAGAGAAACCUCACUCAAAUCAGCAAGAACCACAUUCUAAGAGGCUGGUGAGCCGAAACAGAUACCUUAAAAAUCAAAGCCAAGGAGGAGUUUCCACUGUGGUGCAGUGGCUUAAGGAUCCAACUGCAGCAACUUGGGUUGCUGUGGAGGCAAGGGUUGAUCCUCAGCCUGGCGCAGUGUGCUAAACUAUCUGGGUUUCCACAGCUGUGGCAUAGGUUGCAGGUGCAUCUCAGAUUCAACUCCUGGCCCAGGAACUUGCAUAUGCUGAAGGUGUGGCAAUAAAAAAAAAAAAAGAAAAAAAGAAAAAAGAAAAA
rnacentral:lncRNA from 1 species